UCCAAUAUUUUCUCAUUUACCCCAACAUGCGCACUACGAGUGACAAAAUUCUCGUCGAAGACACAGACGCAUAAAAGGGAAGCAGACCUAACACAAACACAUGGAUGUGAAUAAUUUAAUAUCUACAUUUCUUUUACUUCAAAUAAAAGGGCUUUUUGCUAUAGCAACAUUAACACACUCAUAGAGAAAAUUGGAAUGAAGCAGUCGCCAUAUUGUUUAGCAGCAAAUAAGCGACAUAUGGCGUCUUAUCAUAUGUAAACAAGUCACAACUCCUUGUGCUUUAUUUUUUGCUAAUAGUGAUUUAUUGUGCUAACUGCUACUGUAAUAAUAAAUAAAUACUGAAAGAGGAUGGUGAAGUGCAGUGCGCCUUGUGCGGCAACGCAAUAUAUAAGAAAACAGUUGAAAUUACUUUUCACAGGUUUCCCAAGGAUGAAAGUAUGAAACUUGCAUGGUUGACCAAUGAAGAGACAUUUUGAACAAUUUUGAACCACACUUAAUAGAUAAAAGUGGAUUUCGAACAGUACUUGCUCCAGGAGCAAUUCCAACAAUAUUCAAUCUGUUACAAGAAGCUAUACCUACAGUGUCUAGAGGUCAUGCUGUACAGCAAAGUACUAGUACCUCUACUGCAUAUCCUCAGUGUGAUGAAGUCAGCCGCAAAAAGGAUGAAGAAAUAAGAAAAAUUAAACAUAAAGCUUUCCUCAAAAAUAAAAGGAUAAAAGAAUGCAAAAAGAAUAAAAACAACAGAAUGCACGGCUUAAGAAAAAAGUUUCAAAGUGCUCUGAAAUAAUAUCCAGCCUCAAAGAGAAGUUAAAUCUCGACAAAUUUCAUAUAGUGUCAGGAAUGAACCUAAAAAAUAAAGAUUUCUUUAUAAGAUAUAUGAAAAAAGCAACAAAAAGUUCCACUUUGAGUAAGUCAUAUUCACCGGAAUUGAGGGCUUUUGCUCUUCAAUUAAAUUUUUACUCGCCUAGAGCAUACAAUUUUAUUCGAAACUCAUUUAACACAGUCUUACCUCACCAGGCCACAUUGUCGUUUUUUAUGACCUAUGUCAUAUGAUUAAACUUGUUAGAAAUACCUUGGGCGAAUUCGGUAGUUUAAUAGAUCAAAAUCGUGACAUCAUAAAUUUUUAAUAUCUCAGUCUAUUGCUGGAACUUCAAACAAAUAAAUUAAAACAAGCUAAUAUUCUGUUUGGAAAACAAAAAAUGAAAGUGCGUUUGGCGGUGCAGCUACUUAGUAGAUCUGUUGCUGACGCGCUUUCCUUUUGUGAAGAUAAUUUUGAUGAAUUUGAAGGGUCUAGAGCAACAAUAAAAUUUAUUUGUGUCAUAAACGACUCUUUCGAUGUUUUAAAUAGCCGGUCCACACUUGCGCCUGGAAACAAAAAAGCCUUGUGUAGUGGUAAUAUUAAAAUGGUAAGAGAGCAAAUUGCUACUUGGCAAGAAUAUAUAACGAAUUUAAAAUUGCCGAACGGAAAUUUAAUUGUUAAUUCUGGUCGCAAAACCGGGUUUGUGGGAUUUAUUGUAAGUUUACAUAGUGCUCUUAAUUUGUUCGAGGACUUAGUAUCCAAAGGAAACUUACGAUUCCUGUCACUAUAAAAUAAGUCAGGAUUUCUUAGAAAUGUUCUUUGGAAAAAUGAGGGCUAGGGGUGGGUUUAAUGAUAACCCCAACAUGGUUUAAUUUAAGACUGUGUAUAAAAAAAAUAUUAUUCAAAUAAAAUUAAAAAUGGAAUCAGAUGGCUUCACCAUCCCAAAUAUAAUUUUAAAUACAAGUUCUAGUAAAAAGGUUGUAGAUAUAGUCAAUGAUACCACACCAAGUUUUGAAAAAAAUUUAAUGGAACUUCAUAACUUAAAUGAAGAAAAUAUUGAUUGCUUUAUUGAAAAUAUUGUUUCAAACCCCUUAGAUGUGUAUACUCACCAUGUAACUAUUUAUAUUUCAGGCUUCAUAGCUAGAAAAAUAAUUAAAGUUAUAAAUUGUUAUAAAUGUCAGAUGUUAAUGUUAGGAGAAAAGAAAAUUUCUUUAAAUCAUUAAUUAAUAAAAAGGACAGAGGAGGUUUGACAUAUCCGUCUAAUGGUCUGAUUAAAAUAAUCCAAUUGUGUGAAAAAUUCUUAAAAAUGUAUAAAGGAAAUGUAAAUUACACAAGUCUAAUUAUGUAUAUAGCUGAUUCCUCAAAUUACUAUUCAGAUUUAAAAACAAAUGAUGAACAUGAUUCUAAUCACGUGUAUUUAUUAGUUAGUGUAAUUGUUAAGUACUACAUUGAUUUAAGGAUGAAGUAUGAUGCUAAACAAAGCAACCUUUCUGAACGGAAUUAUUUGAAAAAAAUUAUUUUGUUCAAAAAUAAAUGAUUUUGAAAAAG